AUUGAACGCUGGCGGCAGGCCUAACACAUGCAAGUCGAACGGUAGCACAGAGAGCUUGCUCUCGGGUGACGAGUGGCGGACGGGUGAGUAAUGUCUGGGAAACUGCCCGAUGGAGGGGGGAUAACUACUGGAAACGGUAGCUAAUACCGCAUAACGUCGCAAGACCAAAGUGGGGGACCUUCGGGCCUCACACCAUCGGAUGUGCCCAGAUGGGAUUAGCUAGUAGGUGGGGUAAUGGCUCACCUAGGCGACGAACCCUAGCUGGUCUGAGAGUGUGACCAGCCGCAGUGGAACUGAGACACGAUCCAGAGUCCUACGGGAGGCAGCAGUGGGGAAUAUUGCACAAUGGGCGCAAGCCUGAUGCAGCCAUGCCGCGUGUAUGAAGAAGGCCUUCGGGUUGUAAAGUACUUUCAGCGGGGAGGAAGGCGGUGAAGUUAAUAACUUCACCGAUUGACGUUACCCGCAGAAGAAGCACCGGCUAACUCCGUGCCAGCAGCCGCCGUAA
rnacentral:rRNA from 1 species